UUACGGCGAUAUCACGUCAAAACACCGGUUUGUGUACGAUAACCGAAGUAAAGCAACGUCGAGCCAGGUUAGUACACGGAUGGGUGACCACUUGGGAAUACCAGGCGCUGUAAG